rnacentral:rRNA from 1 species
UUACCGAGUUUACAACUCCCAAACCCCUGUGAACAUACCUAUACGUUGCCUCGGCGGAUCAGCCCGCGCCCCGUAAAAAGGGACGGCCCGCCCGAGGACCCCUAAACUCUGUUUUUAGUGGAACUUCUGAGUAAAACAAACAAAUAAAUCAAAACUUUCAACAACGGAUCUCUUGGUUCUGGCAUCGAUGAAGAACGCAGCAAAAUGCGAUAAGUAAUGUGAAUUGCAGAAUUCAGUGAAUCAUCGAAUCUUUGAACGCACAUUGCGCCCGCCAGUAUUCUGGCGGGCAUGCCUGUUCGAGCGUCAUUUCAACCCUCAAGCUCAGCUUGGUGUUGGGACUCGCGGUAACCCGCGUUCCCCAAAUCGAUUGGCGGUCACGUCGAGCUUCCAUAGCGUAGUAAUCAUACACCUCGUUACUGGUAAUCGUCGCGGCCACGCCGUAAAACCCCAACUUCUGAAUGUGACCUCGGAUCAGGCUUUUCUCCUUAUGGGAGCAAAAGAAACCAACAGGGAUUGCCCUAGUAACGGCGAGUGAAGCGGCAACAGCUCAAAUUUGAAAUCUGGCUCUCGGGCCCGAGUUGUAAUUUGUAGAGGAUGCUUUUGAUGCGGUGCCUUCCGAGUUCCCUGGAACGGGACGCCAUAGAGGGUGAGAGCCCCGUCUGGUUGGAUGCCAAAUCUCUGUAAAGCUCCUUCGACGAGUCGAGUAGUUUGGGAAUGCUGCUCUAAAUGGGAGGUAUAUGUCUUCUAAAGCUAAAUACCGGCCAGAGACCGAUAGCGCACAAGUAGAGUGAUCGAAAGAUGAAAAGCACUUUGAAAAGAGAGUUAAAAAGUACGUGAAAUUGUUGAAAGGGAAGCGUUUAUGACCAGACUUGGGCUUGGUUAAUCAUCUGGGGUUCUCCCCAGUGCACUUUUCCAGUCCAGGCCAGCAUCAGUUUUCGCCGGGGGAUAAAGGCUUCGGGAAUGUGGCUCUCUCCGGGGAGUGUUAUAGCCCGUUGCGUAAUACCCUGGCGGGGACUGAGGUUCGCGCAUCUGCAAGGAUGCUGGCGUAAUGUAAGUCAACGACUCGUCUUGUACACGGGAGACACAGGAA